CUCUAAUAUUUGUAAUUAUUUGUUUUUUUUCUCCACAGAUAUUUGAGUGUGGCUGUGUAAAAUGAGCAGUCUAGCAGUUUUAAUACGUAACCAUCAAGCGUGAUUGUGUCCUGAAGAUCUACCUCAUUUGAAGAGUCUGUGCAUCUACCUCAAUGAAGACUUAAAGGAAUAUGUGGACUAAAAGUGGCAGAAUCUCAAUGCACACACAACAGUGGAGAUCUUUAUCAUUUGGGCUGAGGAUGCUGGUCCUGGGGACAGACCUACAGAUGUGGGUGUAGAUGUUUUGCAGAACCUGCUGAGUGUCACAUAUAGAUUGGAUGGACUUUUUGGGUUCAUGUACACUUAAAGGGUUUUUUUAACCAGAAAUGAAAACGUUUAAUUAUCCGUGUCGUACCAAACAUUGAUUUGUCUUCGAAGUACAAAUUAAGAUACUUCAGGUGAAA